rnacentral:tRNA from 1 species
GCCCCGGUAGCUAAGCUUGGUUAUAGCAGCGGUUUCGUAAACCGCGGGUCGCGAGUUCAAAUCUCGCCCGGGGCUCCA